rnacentral:rRNA from 1 species
UACAGAGGUCCCGAGCGUUGUUCGGAUUUAUUGGGCGUAAAGGGUGCGUAGGCGGCGGAGUAAGUUGGGUGUGAAAUCCCGGGGCUCAACUUCGGAAUGGCAUUCAAUACUGCUUCGCUCGAGUACUGGAGAGGAGGCUGGAAUUUACGGUGUAGCAGUGAAAUGCGUAGAUAUCGUAAGGAAGGCCGGUGGCGAAAGCGAGCCUCUGGACAGUUACUGACGCUGAUGCACGAAGGCCAGGGGAGCAAACGGG